UUUGGCCUUUCCAUGUUCUGCCACUGAACUGCAAUUCAACAGUUUUUCCAUGUGAAAUUCCCUAUUGCAGGUGAAGACUAUGUGUCACACUGGUGCAUGGAGUCCUAUUGCAAGUCCAUGGGAACCAGACAACUUCAGGCUUUUCCUCAGCUCUGGAAUCAGGAAUUUUAGAUUAUUCAGGAAGCCUUUGAAUUGUAAGAAUGAAAAUGAGAGGAAAAACCCAGAGAUGUUCAAGAUUUUUUCCUUUCUAUCCUAA